GGACCUCAUUGAGGACUUGAUCAGUUCCUUUGGUGUUCCCAACCUUUGCACGUUUGAUUGCUGUUACAGUUCCGUCAUCAAGAAUGCCCCUGAAGACCUCACCAAAACCUCCAGAUCCUACAAGAUUCUUCUGCGUUUCUUUCUUUAUGCGCCGGUGUUGCUUGUAAACUAUAAUUCCGAUCAUUAUAGCAAGCGAAAGUCCUCCCAGUACAGCCGUUAUACCUGAAAAGAAAUAAAAAAACAUACAGUCACCAUCACAAUCACUACUUGGCAGGCAUACAUCAAAUAAGAGGUCGGCACAUACCACCAAUGAGCACUAUCUGCUUCUUUUGUUUUUUGCAGCGUUUCCCUGGUCGGCAUUUCGUACCUAAAUGAAUAGAAGACAGUAUCUUAAUGCUUAUGGCCGCAUGGAAUAGUAAGAACUGUUCUUUAGCCAUUUUUGCCGGUUUCAAGAGGAUCCCAGGUAAAUCCUUUGUUGCACAAGCACCUGGUUGUUCCAACAUUUGCUGGAUCGGCUAAGCACUUGGAAUGAAACAAGUUCUUGCAAUCCAUAGGUGCCUUGCAAGCCGGUUCUAGUGGCAAUGCCCACUC